rnacentral:rRNA from 1 species
GACGAACGCUGGCGGCGUGCUUAACACAUGCAAGUCGAACGGUCAGGCCCUUCGGGGUACACGAGUGGCGAACGGGUGAGUAACACGUGGGUGAUCUGCCCUGCACUUCGUGAUAAGCCUGGGAAACUGGGUCUAAUACCGGAUAGGACCACUGCAUGCUUGGGUGGUGGUGGAAAGCUUUUGCGGGGUGGGAUGGGCCCGCGGACUAUCAGCUUGUUGGUGGGGUGAUGGCCUACCAAGGCGACGACGGGUAGCCGGCCUGAGAGGGUGACCGGCCACACUGGGACUGAGAUACGGCCCAGACUCCUACGGGAGGCAGCAGUGGGGAAUAUUGCACAAUGGGCGCAAGCCUGAUGCAGCGACGCCGCGUGAGGGAUGACGGCCUUCGGGUUGUAAACCUCUUUCAGCACCGACGAAGCGCAAGUGACGGUAGGUGCAGAAGAAGGACCGGCCAACUACGUGCCAGCAGCCGCCGUAA